rnacentral:rRNA from 1 species
GAUGAACGCUGGCGGCGUGCCUAGUACAUGCAAGUCGAGCGAACAGACGAGGAGAUUGCUCCUCUGACGUUAGCGGCGGACGGGUGAGUAACACGUGGAUAACCUACCUAUAAGACUGGGGUAACUUCGGGAAACCGGAGCUAAUACCGGAUAAUAUAUUGAACCGCAUGGUUCAAUAGUGAAAGACGGUUUUGCUGUCACUUAUAGAUGGAUCCGCGCCGCAUUAGCUAGUUGGUAAGGUAACGGCUUACCAAGGCAACGAUGCGUAGCCGACCUGAGAGGGUGAUCAGCCACACUGGAACUGAGACACGGUCCAGACUCCUACGGGAGGCAGCAGUAGGGAAUCUUCCGCAAUGGGCGAAAGCCUGACGGAGCAACACCGCGUGAGUGAUGAAGGUCUUCGGAUCGUAAAACUCUGUUAUUAGGGAAGAACAGAUGUGUAAGUAACUAUGCACGUCUUGACGGUACCUAAUCAGAAAGCCACGGCUAACUACGUG